rnacentral:rRNA from 1 species
AUUGAACGCUGGCGGCAUGCUUUACACAUGCAAGUCGAACGGCAGCGCGGGAUACGGUCUUGUGUCGCUUGGCGGUCGGGUACGUGAUGCAACUGUCCGUGCCACGUCGUGGGGGAUAGCGAGGAGUACGCCGGACUAAUGCCGCAUCCGCCUUGCGGGUGAAAACGGGGGACCGGAACGUCUCGCGCUCUUGCAGCGGCCGAUGUCGGAUUAGCUAGUUGGUGGGGUAAAGGCUUACCAAGGCGACGAUCCGUAGCUGGUCUGAGAGGACGACCAGCCACACUGGGACUGAGACACGGCCCAGACUCCUACGGGAGGCAGCAGUGGGGAAUUUUGGACAAUGGGGGCAACCCUGAUCCAGCCAUGCCGCGUGCGUGAAGAAGGCCUUCGGGUUGUAAAGCGCUUUUGUUCGGGAAGAAGUCCUCUGAGCUAAUACCCCGGGGGGAUGACGGUACCGGAAGAAUAAGCACCGGCUAACUACGUG